rnacentral:rRNA from 1 species
GACGAACGCUGGCGGCGUGCUUAACACAUGCAAGUCGAACGGAAAGGCCCUGCUUUUGUGGGGUGCUCGAGUGGCGAACGGGUGAGUAACACGUGAGUAACCUGCCCUUGACUUUGGGAUAACUUCAGGAAACUGGGGCUAAUACCGGAUAGGAGCUCCUGCUGCAUGGUGGGGGUUGGAAAGUUUCGGCGGUUGGGGAUGGACUCGCGGCUUAUCAGCUGGUUGGUGGGGUAGUGGCUUACCAAGGCUUUGACGGGUAGCCGGCCUGAGAGGGUGACCGGCCACAUUGGGACUGAGAUACGGCCCAGACUCCUACGGGAGGCAGCAGUGGGGAAUAUUGCACAAUGGGCGGAAGCCUGAUGCAGCAACGCUGCGUGCGGGAUGACGGCCUUCGGGUUGUAAACCGCUUUCGCCUGUGACGAAGCGUGAGUGACGGUAAUGGGUAAAGAAGCACCGGCUAACUACGUG